UACGUAGGCGGCAAGCGUUGUCCGGAUUUACUGGGCGUAAAGGAUGCGUAGGCGGACAUUUAAGUCAGAUGUGAAAUACCCGAGCUCAACUUGGGUGCUGCAUUUGAAACUGGAUGUCUAGAGUGCAGGAGAGGUAAGUGGAAUUCCUAGUGUAGCGGUGAAAUGCGUAGAGAUUAGGAAGAACACCAGUGGCGAAGGCGACUUACUGGACUGUAACUGACGCUGAGGCAUGAAAGCGUGGGGAGCAAACAGG
rnacentral:rRNA from 1 species